rnacentral:tRNA from 2 species
GCGGGGUUCGUAUAAUGGUAAUACCCUAGCCUUCCAAGCUAGAGCCGCGGGUUCGAUUCCCGUACCCCGCUCCA